rnacentral:tRNA from 2 species
GGCCCGUUAGCUCAACUGGUAGAGCAGCGGACUCUUAAUCCGCAGGCUGAAGGUUCGAGUCCUUCACGGGUCA